AACAAACGUAUAACUCAGGGCUGUAAAUUCAAAUAAAUGUGAAGGAAACCCAAAGAUCAUGUCGAGUGCAGUUUCGUGUGUAGUGUUUGUUCUCACCACACUGUAUCUGAUUUGAAGUCCCAUAUUUGAAUCAGAAGGAUAAACGUCAGUGCAGUGCAAGAACCAUGAAGGAGGCAGUGCUGGAGACUGUUGCCAAAGUCUCCUCAGAGGGAAGAAAGACAAAUAAUAAACACAGAGCUCAUCAGGAUGACCCACAGGGCUCAUGUGAUCUCUAAUGGACCGGAGCCGGUGGAAUCAAUUCACGGCUGGUUUGGGAAUGGAUCAGGAGUUUGAUAAUAAGUCGGCAGAUUCCCGCCCUGCGUCGGGAAGCGCCUCCUCUGCGCCACGUGAGCGAUGGGAGGAAUCUACAAAUGGGACACGGAGCGAGGAGUUUUCACGGGUCCCUUUGAUGAGCUGCUCCUCGUCUCCAUCGAGCUGAUUACACCAGAGGAGGAAUUAUUCAUGACAUAAAUGGCAGAGGAGUUGUUAACGGAAAAUGCUGCAAAAAUCAGUGGGCAUCUCACAUGGUCACUGCUGGCGGUGGCGUUCCUGGCCUCGUUCGGCAGCUCCAUGCUCUACGGCUUCAAUUUGGCCGUCGUCAACUCGCCCGCAGAGUACAUCAAAGCCUUCUA